rnacentral:rRNA from 1 species
UACGUAGGGUGCAAGCGUUGUCCGGAAUUAUUGGGCGUAAAGAGCGUGUAGGCGGCCAUACAGGUCAGCUGUGAAAACUCGAGGCUCAACCUCGAGACGUCGGUUGAAACCGUUUGGCUAGAGUCCGGAAGAGGAGAGUGGAAUUCCUGGUGUAGCGGUGAAAUGCGCAGAUAUCAGGAAGAACACCCGUGGCUAAGGCGGCUCUCUAGUACGGUACUGACGCUGAGACGCGAAAGCGUGGGGAGCGAACAGG